AGCGAACGCUGGCGGCAGGCCUAACACAUGCAAGUCGAACGAACUCUUCGGAGUUAGUGGCGGACGGGUGAGUAACACGUGGGAACGUGCCUUUUGGUUCGGAAUAACUCAGGGAAACUUGUGCUAAUACCGAAUGUGCUCUUCGGGGGAAAGAUUUAUCGCCAUUAGAGCGGCCCGCGUCUGAUUAGCUAGUUGGUGAGGUAACGGCUCACCAAGGCGACGAUCAGUAGCUGGUCUGAGAGGAUGACCAGCCACACUGGGACUGAGACACGGCCCAGACUCCUACGGGAGGCAGCAGUGGGGAAUCUUGCGCAAUGGGCGAAAGCCUGACGCAGCUAUGCCGCGUGAAUGAUGAAGGUCUUAGGAUUGUAAAAUUCUUUCACCGGGGACGAUAAUGACGGUACCCGGAGAAGAAGCCCCGGCUAACUUCGUG
rnacentral:rRNA from 1 species